GGGUUGUGAGGUUAAGCGACUAAGCGUACACGGUGGAUGCCCUGGCAGUCAGAGGCGAUGAAGGGCGUGCUAAUCUGCGAUAAGCGCCGGUAAGGUGAUAUGAACCGUUAUAACCGGCGAUACCCGAAUGGGGAAACCCAGUGUGAUUCGUCACACUAUCAUUAACUGAAUCCAUAGGUUAAUGAGGCGAACCGGGGGAACUGAAACAUCUAAGUACCCCGAGGAAAAGAAAUCAACCGAGAUUCCCCCAGUAGCGGCGAGCGAACGGGGAGGAGCCCAGAGCCUGAAUCAGCAUGUGUGUUAGUGGAAGCGUCUGGAAAGGCGCGCGAUACAGGGUGACAGCCCCGUACACAAAAGCGCAUGUGCUGUGAGCUCGAUGAGUAGGGCGGGACACGUGGUAUCCUGUCUGAAUAUGGGGGGACCAUCCUCCAAGGCUAAAUACUCCUGACUGACCGAUAGUGAACCAGUACCGUGAGGGAAAGGCGAAAAGAACCCCGGCGAGGGGAGUGAAAAAGAACCUGAAACCGUGUACGUACAAGCAGUGGGAGCACCCUUCGGGGUGUGACUGCGUACCUUUUGUAUAAUGGGUCAGCGACUUAUAUUCUGUAGCAAGGUUAACCGUAUAGGGGAGCCGCAGGGAAACCGAGUCUUAACCGGGCGUUAAGUUGCAGGGUAUAGACCCGAAACCCGGUGAUCUAGCCAUGGGCAGGUUGAAGGUUGGGUAACACUAACUGGAGGACCGAACCGACUAAUGUUGAAAAAUUAGCGGAUGACCUGUGGCUGGGGGUGAAAGGCCAAUCAAACCGGGAGAUAGCUGGUUCUCCCCGAAAGCUAUUUAGGUAGCGCCUCGUGAAUUCAUCUCCGGGGGUAGAGCACUGUUUCGGCUAGGGGGCCAUCCCGGCUUACCAACCCGAUGCAAACUGCGAAUACCGGAGAAUGUUAUCACGGGAGACACACGGCGGGUGCUAACGUCCGUCGUGAAGAGGGAAACAACCCAGACCGCCAGCUAAGGUCCCAAAGUCAUGGUUAAGUGGGAAACGAUGUGGGAAGGCCCAGACAGCCAGGAUGUUGGCUUAGAAGCAGCCAUCAUUUAAAGAAAGCGUAAUAGCUCACUGGUCGAGUCGGCCUGCGCGGAAGAUGUAACGGGGCUAAACCAUGCACCGAAGCUGCGGCAGCGACGCUUAUGCGUUGUUGGGUAGGGGAGCGUUCUGUAAGCCUGCGAAGGUGGCCUGUGAGGGUUGCUGGAGGUAUCAGAAGUGCGAAUGCUGACAUAAGUAACGAUAAAGCGGGUGAAAAGCCCGCUCGCCGGAAGACCAAGGGUUCCUGUCCAACGUUAAUCGGGGCAGGGUGAGUCGACCCCUAAGGCGAGGCCGAAAGGCGUAGUCGAUGGGAAACGGGUUAAUAUUCCCGUACUUGGUGUUACUGCGAAGGGGGGACGGAGAAGGCUAUGUUGGCCGGGCGACGGUUGUCCCGGUUUAAGCGUGUAGGUGUGUGUUCCAGGUAAAUCCGGUUCACUUUAACACUGAGGCGUGACGACGAGGCACUACGGUGCUGAAGCAACAAAUGCCCUGCUUCCAGGAAAAGCCUCUAAGCAUCAGGUAACAUCAAAUCGUACCCCAAACCGACACAGGUGGUCAGGUAGAGAAUACCAAGGCGAUUGAGAGAACUCGGGUGAAGGAACUAGGCAAAAUGGUGCCGUAACUUCGGGAGAAGGCACGCUGACACGUAGGUGAAGUGAUUUACUCAUGGAGCUGAAGUCAGUCGAAGAUACCAGCUGGCUGCAACUGUUUAUUAAAAACACAGCACUGUGCAAACACGAAAGUGGACGUAUACGGUGUGACGCCUGCCCGGUGCCGGAAGGUUAAUUGAUGGGGUCAGCGCAAGCGAAGCUCCUGAUCGAAGCCCCGGUAAACGGCGGCCGUAACUAUAACGGUCCUAAGGUAGCGAAAUUCCUUGUCGGGUAAGUUCCGACCUGCACGAAUGGCGUAAUGAUGGCCAGGCUGUCUCCACCCGAGACUCAGUGAAAUUGAACUCGCUGUGAAGAUGCAGUGUACCCGCGGCAAGACGGAAAGACCCCGUGAACCUUUACUAUAGCUUGACACUGAACAUUGAGCCUUGAUGUGUAGGAUAGGUGGGAGGCUUUGAAGUGUGGACGCCAGUCUGCAUGGAGCCGACCUUGAAAUACCACCCUUUAAUGUUUGAUGUUCUAACGUGGACCCGUGAUCCGGGUUGCGGACAGUGUCUGGUGGGUAGUUUGACUGGGGCGGUCUCCUCCUAAAGAGUAACGGAGGAGCACGAAGGUUGGCUAAUCCUGGUCGGACAUCAGGAGGUUAGUGCAAUGGCAUAAGCCAGCUUGACUGCGAGCGUGACGGCGCGAGCAGGUGCGAAAGCAGGUCAUAGUGAUCCGGUGGUUCUGAAUGGAAGGGCCAUCGCUCAACGGAUAAAAGGUACUCCGGGGAUAACAGGCUGAUACCGCCCAAGAGUUCAUAUCGACGGCGGUGUUUGGCACCUCGAUGUCGGCUCAUCACAUCCUGGGGCUGAAGUAGGUCCCAAGGGUAUGGCUGUUCGCCAUUUAAAGUGGUACGCGAGCUGGGUUUAGAACGUCGUGAGACAGUUCGGUCCCUAUCUGCCGUGGGCGCUGGAGAACUGAGGGGGGCUGCUCCUAGUACGAGAGGACCGGAGUGGACGCAUCACUGGUGUUCGGGUUGUCAUGCCAAUGGCACUGCCCGGUAGCUAAAUGCGGAAGAGAUAAGUGCUGAAAGCAUCUAAGCACGAAACUUGCCCCGAGAUGAGUUCUCCCUGAGACUUAGAGUCUCCUGAAGGAACGUUGAAGACGACGACGUUGAUAGGCCGGGUGUGUAAGCGCAGCGAUGCGUUGAGCUAACCGGUACUAAUGAACCGUGAGGCUUAACCUUACAACGCCGAAG
rnacentral:rRNA from 1 species